CAGUCGAACGAAGCACUCUAUUUGAUUUUCUUCGGAAAUGAAGAUUUUGUGACUGCGUUGAGGACGGGUGAGUAACGCGUGGGUAACCUGCCUCAUACAGGGGGAUAACAGUUGGAAACGACUGCUAAUACCGCAUAAGCGCACAGGAUCGCAUGAUCCGGUGUGAAAAACUCCGGUGGUAUGAGAUGGACCCGCGUCUGAUUAGCCAGUUGGCAGGGCAACGGCCUACCAAAGCGACGAUCAGUAGCCGACCUGAGAGGGUGACCGGCCACAUUGGGACUGAGACACGGCCCAAACUCCUACGGGAGGCAGCAGUGGGGAAUAUUGCACAAUGGGGGAAACCCUGAUGCAGCGACGCCGCGUGAGCGAAGAAGUAUUUCGGUAUGUAAAGCUCUAUCAGCAGGGAAGAAGAAUGACGGUACCUGACUAAGAAGCACCGGCUAAAUACGUGCCAGCAGCCGCGGUAAUACGUAGGGGGCAAGCGUUAUCCGGAUUUACUGGGUGUAAAGGGAGCGUAGACGGUGUGGCAAGUCUGAUGCGAAAGGCAUGGGCUCAACCUGUGGACUGCAUUGGAAACUGUCAUACUUGAGUGCCGGAGGGGUAAGCGGAAUUCCUAGUGUAGCGGUGAAAUGCGUAGAUAUUAGGAGGAACACCAGUGGCGAAGGCGGCUUACUGGACGGUAACUGACGUUGAGGCUCGAAAGCGUGGGGAGCAAACAGGA
rnacentral:rRNA from 1 species